AUUUUUUCAUUUAGUUAGAAACACUUUCUAAUUUACCUUUGGUGUUUUCUCUGAACCAUGGGUUAUUUAGAAUUCUGUGAUUUAGUUUCCAAAUAAUUUGGAAUUUUCCAGGAUUUAACACUGCAUCAAAGACCCCAAGAAAUGCUAUUAAAAUGCAACUAAGUUGGUUCUUAGAAGUUUGGAGAAAGCAAUGGCACACAUUUAAUGAAGCAGAAAUGCUAGAUUUGCUAUAGCAGACAAUGGAAGAAGAAACCAAGAGACUCGGAGAACAUGCUGGAGGGAUGUAUUAGAUAUGGACUCUCACUAUGUUGCCCAGGCUGGUCUCAAGCUCCUGGGCUCAAGCAAUCCUUCCACCUUGGCCUCCCAAAAUGCUGAGAUUACUGGAAUGAGCCACUGUGCCUGGCCUAUGUGAGACUUUAUCAGAGGGAGGCCAACAAG